GUGCGUGGCCGGACGGUCGCGUCGGGAAGUGCUUGUCGCUUUCCGCCGAGGAAAGUCCGGGCUCCAUGGGCAGGCUGCCAGGUAACGCCUGGGCGCCGCAGCGCGUUUACGCGCGUUGUGGUGACGGACAGUGCCACAGAAAACACACCGCCGACGUGGUGGAGCAAUUCACCGCGGGUAAGGGUGAAAUGGUGGAGUAAGAGCCCACCGCGCGACUGGUAACAGUCGCGGCAGGGUAAACCCCAGCCGGAGCAAGGCCAAAUAGGCAGUGAGAGGUGCCCACCUCGAUCAAGACACUGCGGGUAGGCUGCUAGAGGGCGCGAGCGAUCGCGCUCCGAGAGGAAUGACCGUCAGGGCGCUUCGGCGCUCGACAGAACCCGGCUUAUAGGCCACGCUCGCUU
rnacentral:RNase_P_RNA from 1 species